AAAAAUUUGAGAGAGAGUCAAGAGUACGUGAACUGCUCAGAGUAAACGGUGGCCCUCGAAUCCCGCCUCGGGGGGAUUCAGUCGGGAGCGCGCGGGGAUGCAACCGCGGCCGUCAGGCUCAACCGACCUUCGACGGAAGGUGGGGCCGCGGUCUUGGUUCCCGUCUCGCCCGACGCAAUUCCCCCCGUGCAGAGGACGCCGCAGCCGGUUCGGAGUCGGCCAUGAGGGAGGUCGACGGCAGGUGGCCGGGUUCGGCUCCAGCGAGCCGUUCCCCGGUCGUUAGCCAGGCUUCCCGGGGCGCGACGCCGGACCGAGGUGUAAAGUCUCCUUGCCCAGGGGAGACUAGCCGUCCCCUCCAUAUAGGGGCGCGCGCGGUACGCAGGUGCGGCGACGGCGAAAGUGCGGAACCACUCGCGACAGUGGUCCGCCACCGUCGCACCUCGUUGGCGAAUGGCGACGCGCGGAGGGGUAGACGGCUGGCGGCGAGUAGGUCGGUCACCCACCCGACCCGUCUUGAAACACGGACCAAGGAGUCUAACAUGUGCGCGAGUCGCAGGAUCUUGAACAGGUCCUGGGGCGGAGUGAGAGCGAAGGGGAUCCGAAAGAGGUCCCCGACUGUUGGGACCCGCGCGGACUUCCGCGCGGUGCACCAACGACGCGCCCCUCUCCGGCCUCGGUCGGUGGGGCGCAGUCGGAGCGUACACGUUGGGACCCGAAAGAUGGUGAACUAUGCCCGGACAGGACGAGGCCAGAGGAAACUCUGGUGGAUGUCCGCAGCGGUUCUGACAUGCAAUCGAUCGUCGGAUCCGGU
rnacentral:rRNA from 1 species